CCUACGUGAGGCUGCAGUGGGGAAUAUUGGACAAUGGGCGAAAGCCUGAUCCAGCCAUGCCGCGUGUGUGAAGAAGGCCUUCGGGUUGUAAAGCACUUUCAGUGGGGAAGAAAGCCUUGGGGCUAAUACCCUCGAGGAAGGACAUCACCCACAGAAGAAGCACCGGCUAACUCCGUGCCAGCAGCCGCGGUAAUACGGAGGGUGCGAGCGUUAAUCGGAAUUACUGGGCGUAAGGCGCGCGUAGGCGGUCUGAUAAGCCGGUUGUGAAAGCCCCGGGCUCAACCUGGGAACGGCAUCCGGAACUGUCAGGCUAGAGUGCAGGAGAGGAAGGUAGAAUUCCCGGUGUAGCGGUGAAAUGCGUAGAGAUCGGGAGGAAUACCAGUGGCGAAGGCGGCCUUCUGGACUGACACUGACGCUGAGGUGCGAAAGCGUGGGUAGCAAACAGGAUUAGAUACCCCUGUAGUC
rnacentral:rRNA from 1 species